CUGAGACACGGCCCAGACUCCUACGGGAGGCAGCAGUGGGGAAUAUUGCACAAUGGGCGAAAGCCUGAUGCAGCGACGCCGCGUGAGGGAUGACGGCCUUCGGGUUGUAAACCUCUUUCAGCAGGGAAGAAGCGAAAGUGACGGUACCUGCAGAAGAAGCGCCGGCUAACUACGUGCCAGCAGCCGCGGUAAUACGUAGGGCGCGAGCGUUGUCCGGAAUUAUUGGGCGUAAAGAGCUCGUAGGCGGCUUGUCACGUCGGUUGUGAAAGCCCGGGGCUUAACCCCGGGUCUGCAGUCGAUACGGGCAGGCUAGAGUUCGGUAGGGGAGAUCGGAAUUCCUGGUGUAGCGGUGAAAUGCGCAGAUAUCAGGAGGAACACCGGUGGCGAAGGCGGAUCUCUGGGCCGAUACUGACGCUGAGGAGCGAAAGCGUGGGGAGCGAACAGGAUUAGAUACCCUGGUAGUCCACGCCGUAAACGGUGGGCACUAGGUGUGGGCGACAUUCCACGUCGUCCGUGCCGCAGCUAACGCAUUAAGUGCC
rnacentral:rRNA from 1 species